GGACAUGUUCCGACAUUUAAACGAAGUAUUUCCAUGUUGACGAAUUCGAAAAAAAUGGUAUCUGGGACUUAAAUAAGUGAAAUUUUAGCAAAAUUAAUAAAUAUUUAUUUAUGUCAUAGGUUUAUGUAGUGGUAGUGCAAAAAUCGUUGAAAAGUUAGUUGCUAGUCUCACCCAUAUCCGCAUCAGGGAAGAGUUUGCAAGAUACGGUACUGUUCAAAAUGUCCAAAAACAGCGUUCCGGGAGGCCACGGUUAUCCCAAAUUGCCACGAGAAAAGAAAAACAAAUGGAAACUUAUCGCAAAUCUUCAUGAAAAUCUGUUCAUAAAGCAACACGUGAGAGCCUGGUGAUAACUAUGAAAAAGAAGUUGAGGCAAAGAGCCGCCGAAUGUUCUGCUUCAGAAUCAUGGUUUCCCCACAUUCAUACAUUUUCUCUCGAAAAAAUGUUGCAGUACUAUCAAUUGUUGAGCUGCCCAAUGCAUUUUCAUCACAUAGAAACUUGCAACAGUCAUUUUGACUGGUACUGGCAUAAGUGUCAAUAACAAAAAUUACAGAUACAAAAGACAUGAUAUCAUUACGGGAAAAAAAUUUUUAUGCAGCAAGAAUUUUGACUGGUCAGGUAAAUCUGGUGUUAAUCAUUAUGCUCCAACAAGAAAACAAAAACAAAAAUCGAAAGCUGAGUAUUAUUCUUGAAUGGAAAAAUAAAAAUCGAAUCAUAAUCAAUCCUUGAACAAAAAUAUUACAAUCAGGACGGAGUCAUUGGUCACAAAUGAAAAAAUAAAAGUAAUUUCAAAUUUGGGGAAUGCUGCUAAAGUGACAGUUUUUUCCCCGGAUACAAAUCCUGAGCAUCCCGUUAACGUAGAACUGCCAGUCGUGGGAACGAGUAGUACGGAGAAUACUAACGCAAAUUAUUCGAUAGUCUAAACUGUUAUCAACCCUUAACGGCCGAGAGCUUUUUUGUAAUACUCGCCGCCCAUAAGACGACGGAAAAUUAGGUGAAGUUCUAAAACGUUUAUGAGGAUGAAAACUUAAAUUAAAUUAUUUGGAUAUGAAUUCAAUAUAUUUACUUGUUUUAUAAUUUCAUAUGAUCAACAAACCAGAGAUGUACAAAGUUGCAAUAUUUGUUAAAGAAAACUACAGCGAUGAUAAAUAAAUGAAAUGAAAACUGAA